rnacentral:lncRNA from 1 species
GUCAUCAAAAUAUUGUUGUGAGCAGUGCUAUAGGUAAGUGAUUGAACAUAAGAAUGUGCUAAACCAAGAACUUUUAUUUAAAUAACAUGCAGUUGUGUAAUGCGUAAAGUUGUGUUGCUGAACAUAAAAUGAUCUUACUUUUGCAAGAAGCUUUGCACAUGGGAGAAUCACAGUCAACAUAACAGACUUUGGCUUUUGGAUUAGAAGGUGAUUUCAAAGGGCAUUCAUGAGGGCAUGGUAUUUUCUUCAGAAAGCAUUGGCUCUUACGGUUGGUACAGGUCUGAGUAUCUGAAUAAUAGACUCCAUAGAAAGCAUCAACAUGCAUCACAAAGAAUGCAAAUAGCAGAAGGACAAAUGUUAAGCCUUUGCUUAUUGGGAUACCCAUGAUUUUCCUCUUAGAUUAGAUAGAUAGGGUGAUCAAUGUGGCCUCGCCUUAUAUGCUCUCUUUGGCUUCACCUUCUUACUAGAAAACUUAGCAAGUUGGUCGAUUAUUAUUUGUAAAGCUUUAACAUUUGCUACACCUUUUGUUCUGUAGCUCAAUUCCACGAACGUGACAGGGAUGAAUUGCUGAAUUCUUUGUGGCAUCUUUUACAUAGUCAAAAAAAUGUCAUUAUAGUAUGAGCAAAUGAAAGUUGACAUUGGGCUUUAGUGUGAGGACAAAAAACUUCACAAGCAACUCUUUUUCUACAGACGGGCUUAUUGACAUGCACGAUGUUAUUCUAGUUCAGCCAUGAGAGACAGAGGCAACUUGCCAAGACUGCAUGGUUUAAUAUGAUUUGUAUUUGUUCUUUGGUAAUCAAAACUUAAGGAAGAAAGAAAAUUGUAUUAUGAUCGACGAUGCGUGGUUUGUUCAAGUCAUAUACUUGACUUCUCUUAAGUAAUGCAUCAAAUUCGAGUUUUGCGUAUAAAAAAAUCUCACUGGGAAAGCUAGCUUCACUAGGAAGUGGAUGUCCCUCGCUCCAACACGAUUGCUUUCAAUUGGAGGAUCAUGUGUUCAAAUUAAAAAAAAAAACGAAGAGAAAUUUCCAUUGUUGACCGUUUUAAGGCGAGACAACAUGCUUAUUUCAAGGAAAAGUUUUAGUGAAGUUACAAAGUUACUAUUUGUACCCUCCUACCUGGUCGGACUAAGACGUAUUCACUUAGAAACUUCACAGGGCUACAAUAAUAUUGAUUAAGGUUCACUAACCUUUACAAGAACAUUUAGUGUCCGUCGUGGGGCUCUCUAGUAGAACUUUUCCAGACUCCCAAGUAAAGAGCAAGUGAGCUACCGUGGUGAUAACAAGAUGAUGAAUGUUCUCCUAUAUUGAUGUAGAAGCAAAGAAAAUGAAUUCUAAAGACAAAAAUAUGUUUUGGAAUUAGCUUUGUCAAUCCAUUCAUUCUCCUAGCAGUGGAAUAUUUCAUGCAACUAUUUCAUGCUUAUUGCUUUUAAGGUUGUGUCUAAUUUCAGAAAGCUUUAGCUAAAUCUGUUUUCCAUAACAGUUUUUUCUCCAGAUGAGAAGUUCCUUCACUUUCUUGCUGUCCAUUGUUGGCACUAUGUUAAAAGUCAAAUAUUUUUUUUCAUUUUGUGUCUCUAACUCUCUAUGCAAUAAUUUAUUCACAAAGACAGUGUUUUCAGACUUUUAACUAUAAUCUAGAUCUUGUGCAGGUUAUCAUUAGAGUAUGAAUUGAUAUUUCAUAAAUUAUAUGUUGAACAAACAAAAGAUUACACUUUUUAUUUAAUAGGAAAUCAGAAAUCAGGGUACAGAAUGCUUUUUUGGAUACUGAGUAAGCACACAAUUAUGGUCCUCAGGGCUACAAUAAACUUUGAAUCAUUAUAGGAAAACAAAGGAAACUGUCAAAUUUAUCUUCUGCAAACAAUGCCAUUCCCACUGUUAGCACCACCAGUGCAAUCCAGCAUACCAUAUUCCAUCACUGAGUCUUCCUUCUCAAAAGCUUCAGCAGGAGAGAACAUACAAACACUGCAGUCUGCAGAAGUGAGAGAAGUGGUUCUGUACUUGUCUUCCCCUCCAACUACCGGCAUUGCCACACCAGGCUUCGCCGGAUUCUGAAAAUCUGGCUGAUAAGUCCUGCCAAGAACUCCUUCAACUUUGGAGGAUAGACCAUAGAAUUUAAACUGCACUUCCAAGUGAGCAAAACAAUCAUCAUCAGGAAUCUGAUAGUUAUGGAUUCUGCUGUCCUCUUUGGUAACAGGCACCACAUUUACAGAUAUCUCCGCGACUUCCGGGAGGGUAAUCAAGACACUGUUCUUGCUCGAUGUUCUCUCGAUUCGAAGUUGAUUUUCUUGGUCUUGCCAUGUGGAGAGGUGACCUUCUGGGAUGUCAAGUUCUGAUCCAUCAUAAGAGAUCUUCAAACGGUCAAUUUCAUCAUCCCAAAUUCCUGAUGGGGUGGCCUCAACAGAAAAUUUGUGGGAAUCAAAGAGGAUUCCCAGUGCUUGAAUCCAAGUAUAGUCUCUUGGUCUCCCUGCUGGCCUAAGGCCAAUAAAGCGGGCAUUGAUUUGGAGGUUGACAUCAGACACCAAGCUGAAAUGCUCGUCGCGCCUUCCAUGGAAGUAGAAAACAAUGCCAUCUGCACCAACAAAACGGGGGUCCAAGCAUGCGGAUCCACGGCCAUUGCAAUUUGGUUUGCGACCUGUGAUGCCAUCAUCAUAUUGGGAUAUAAAGUGUGAGUAAGAAGUCUCGUAUUAGAUGAAAAAAAAAGGUGGUGAGCAGUGUUAUAGGUAAACAAUUGAACAAAAGAAUGUGCUACAUCAAGAAUUUCUAUUUAAAUAACAUGCAGUUGUGUAAUGUGUAAAGUUUUGUUGCUGAACAUAAAAUGAUCUUACUUUUGCAAGAAGCUUUGCACAUGGGAGAAUCACAGUCAAGAUAACAGACUUUGUCUUUUGGGUUAGAAGGUGAUUUCAAAGGGCAUUCAUGAGGGCAUUGUAUUUUCUUGAGAAAACAU